CUUAAGACAGCAGGACGGUGCCCAUGGAAGUCGGAACCCGCUAAGGAGUGUGUAACAACUCACCUGCCGAAGCAACUAGCCCCGAAAAUGGAUGGCGCUCUAGUGUCGAGCCUAUCCCCGGCCGCUGCCGGCAGAUGCACGCAAACAAGGGGGUGCUAAGCUGCAGCGAGUAGGAGGUCCGCUGCGGUGAGCGUUGAAGGUGUCGGGCGUAAGCCCGCCUGGAGCCGCCGCUGGUGCAGAUCUUGGUGGUAGUAGCAAAUACUCAAGUGAGAACCUUGAGGACUGAAGUGGAGAAGGGUUCCAUGUGAACAGCAGUUGAACAUGGGUCAGUCGGUCCUAAGGGAAAGGAGAAGUUCUUUCCGAAGCGGGAGCACUUUUUUGCAGUGGAGAGAGCCCCGCAGUGACCGAAAGGGAAUCGGGUUAAUAAUCCCGAACCCGGACACGGAGAUUGGUCCUUCGGGGCCCAGUGCGGUAACGCAAACCAGCUCGGAGACGCCGAUGCGAGCCCCGGGAAGAGUUUUCUUUUCUCUGUAAGGAGAUCGAGUCCCUGGAAUGGGUUCGCCCCGAGAUAGGGAUGGUGGCUCCGUAGAGCAGUGCGGUUCUUGCGCUGUCCGGUGCGCUCGCGUCGGCCCUUGAAAAUCCGAGUGAGGGAGUGUGAUUUUCGUGCCGGACCGUACCCACAUCCGCAGCAGGUCUCCAAGGUGAACAGCCUCUAGUCGAUGGACCAAUGUAGGUAAGGGAAGUCGGCAAAACGGAUCCGUAACCUUGGGAUAAGGAUUGGCUCUGAGGACUGAGCCGGUCGGGCUGGGGACCUGAAGCAGGAACGGCACUGCACCGGGACUGGGCGGGGCUCGCCGUUCACGCGGCGCGGCCAAGCCCGGACCAGCGUCGGGACCUUCCUGUGGAAAGCCUCAGCUGCGCGGCGUCUGAGGGCUUCGUGCCCAAAGUGCUAUGCUUCGGCCGGCAAAAAACAGUCAACUCAGAACUGGCACGGACCGGGGGAAUCCGACUGUCUAAUAAAACAAAGC
rnacentral:ncRNA from 1 species